rnacentral:tRNA from 1 species
GAACUCGUUGCUCAAUCGUAGAGCAUUCGUCUCAAAUACCAAAUGUCGCGGGUUCA